AGCAGCCGCGGUAAUUCCAGCUCCAAUAGCGUAUAUUAAAGUUGUUGCAGUUAAAAAGCUCGUAGUUGAAUUUCGGGAUCAGUUGAUCGGUCGUGCCUCGGUACGUACUGGUCAAAUUGAUUCCUACCUUCUGACGAACCACGAUGUCAUUAAUUUGGUGUCGCGGGAAAUCAGGACUGUUACUUUGAAAAAAUUAGAGUGUUUAAAGCAGGCUCGCGCUUGAAUACAUUAGCAUGGAAUAAUGAAAUAGGACGUUUGAUUCUAUUUUGUUGGUUUCUAGGAUCGACGUAAUGAUUAAUAGGGAUAGUUGGGGGCAUUAGUAUUCAAUUGUCAGAGGUGAAAUUCUUGGAUUUAUUGAAGACUAACUACUGCGAAAGCAUUCGCCAAGGAUGUUUUCAUUAAUCAAGAACGAAAGUUAGGGAUCGAAGACGAUCAGAUACCGUCGUAGUCUUAACCAUAAACUAUAGCCGAC
rnacentral:misc_RNA from 1 species